rnacentral:rRNA from 1 species
UACAGAGGGUGCAAGCGUUAAUCGGAAUUACUGGGCGUAAAGCGUGCGUAGUCGGUUAUCUAAGUCGGGUGUGAAAUCCCCGGGCUCAACCUGGGAAUUGCAUUCGAUACUGGAUAGCUAGAGUUCGGCAGAGGGAAGUGGAAUUUCAGGUGUAGCGGUGAAAUGCGUAGAUAUCUGAAGGAACAUCAGUGGCGAAAGCGACUUCCUGGACCAGAACUGACGAUCAGGCACGAAAGCGUGGGGAGCAAACAGG